GGCUCAGGACGAACGCUGGCGGCGUGCCUAAAACAUGCAAGUCGAACGGGGUCUUCGGACCCAGUGGCGAACGGCGGAGUAAUACAUAAGCAACGUGCCCUGAAGACCGGGAUAGUCAGUGGAAACGCUGGGUAAUACCGGAUGUGGCCGUCCGAUGGCAUCAUUGGACGAUUAAACCGAGCAAUCGGCUUCUGGAGCGGCUUAUGGCCUAUCAGGUAGUUGGUGGGGUAAUGGCCUACCAAGCCGACGACGGGUAGCGGGUCUGAGAGGAUGAUCCGCUCGAGUGGGACUGAGACACGGCCCACACACCUACGGGUGGCAGCAGUUGGGAAUCAUUGGCAAUGGGGGAAACCCUGACCAUGCGACGCCGCGUGGAGGAUGACGGAUCUAGGUCUGUAAACUCCUUUUUCACGGAAAGACUUAGGACGGUACCGUGAGAAUAAGCUCCGGCUAACUACGUGCCAGCAGCCGCGGUAAGACGUAGGGAGCAAGCGUUGUCCGGAUUUACUGGGCGUAAAGAGCGCGUAGGCGGUCUGUUAAGUGAGAAGUGAAAUCUCCAGGGCUCAACCCGGAAACUGCUUUUCAUACUGGCAGACUUGAGGAAUGCAGAGGUAUGUGGAAUUCCUGGUGUAGCGGUGAAAUGCAUUGAUAUCAGGAGGAACACCCAUGGCGAAGGCAGCAUACUGGGCAUUAUCUGACGCUGAGGCGCGAAAGCGUGGGUAGCAAACAGGAUUAGAUACCCUGGUAGUCCACGCCCUAAACGAUGGAUACUAGGCGUAAGAGGUAUCGACCCCUCUUGUGCCGCAGCUAACGCAUUAAGUAUCCCGCCUGGGGAGUACGGCCGCAAGGUUGAAACUCAAAG
rnacentral:rRNA from 1 species